UCCAGACCAUGGGUUUGCCUGAGCCAGUAGUGCCCAUGUCUCCUCCAGUAUCUAUGAGGGCCACGGAGAGCCUCUCAUUCUAGGAGAUGAUCCAGUUCACGGAGGGCUUGAAUGCCAACUACUUCUGCAGGGAGGGGAAUUAUUCGACAUUCAUCCAGACAUACCUCAUGCCUCCCUUGAUAGGUGUUUGCACUCAUGCAGGUAGAGUAGCAGGUGCCCCUACAGCAGGUAAGACUCGGACGACAAGGACUAGGAUUGGAGGGGCCCUUCCCACUGGGCAGGUCAUCGGUUGGCCAGAGCUUCCGACCGAGUUGACAUGCUGGCGGCAUACCGGGGAUCCCUACCAAGUCCUGAUUGAGCCCGCAGCGGCCAGGCAUGUACUUGUUGGGGUUCGAGGCUCGACUUAGCCCUCUACAGAGCACACGGGGAGGGCUCUUGAGCUGAUUGCCUCCCUGAUGGACAUGGUGCAGCGGAGAGAGGCGCUGCUCAGUCUGUACGGUAUUAAGUUCCAGGCAUACUAAGAACACUAGCGACAACGACUGCGCCUGCAUCAUCACCACCACCUCCAGCAGUAGAGAGGAGAGAGAGACGGGCCCCAGCACGCAGCCAAGAGGAGCAUCGUGGCCGAGACUGGAGGAGCCUUCCGGAGCCAGUGUUGAGUGAUAAUGAUGCUGUGACCAAUGGCUCCGAGGAGGCGGUGAUUUCGCAGUUUGAGUCCUCCGAGAGUGGAGAUGACGGUGGCUCGAGAUCUGAAAGUGGAGGUGAUAUUGAGUUAGGCUCCAGAGGAGAGAGCGGUGAUGAUUCCGAUUCCGGUUCGGCAUCUGAGUUAGACAGCGGUGCUGAUAGCGACAGUGGUAGUCUUCUCCUCCGAGGAAGAGGACGAAGAGGGCCUUUAGUGUAUGAGGCGACUAGCACUGAUUUAUUUGUACUUUGCUUAGUUUCUUUUUGUUAGUAGCAUUAGCACAUGUAUAACUUUAGGAAGUUCUAUUUUGCUUUAAAACUUUGUACUCAUCUUUUGUAAAAAGCCAUGAUCGAAAUAAA